AGGGAUUUCACGUGGGAGAAAGUUAAGAGCUAUAGUGAGAUGAACAUGCUGUUGAAUUAUGAGAUCAACAUGUUGAAAAGGAAGGGCUCUGCAUCUUGGACUUCUAUAUGUUGGUUCACUUGUAGUACUUCUUGUGUAUUCUAUCCUGUAUGGUCUGACAGCAAAGGAAUCAAACUGGCUUGGGGCUACCACAUCAGCUGCCGUGAUAAUCCUUGAUUGGAAUUUGGGAGCUUGCUUGUAUGGUUUUAAGCUUCUGAAAAGUCGAGUCGUUGUACUUUUUGUUGCCGGUACAUCUCGGGUGUUCCUGAUCUGUUUUGGAGUUCAUUACUGGUACUUUGGACAUUGUAUCAGUUAUGCAGUUGUAGCAUCUGUGCUGUUGGGUGCUGCUGUUUCACAGAAUUUAUCAGUUACAGACCCG